UUUCUAUCUUCUUCUCCUUCAUCGUUCUCUCCUCCUAUACCUCUCUAUUCUUCUUUUCUCCUCUCUCGCUUACUCUCUUCCUCUGAUUAUGCAACCCUAGAUCUAUUAGAUUUUAUCAGUUUCGCUUCAGAUUUCAGAUCCAUUAUCUCUUUGUCACCCUCGCUUUCAUCCCCAAAUUUAUCUUAAUCUUCUUCAAUUUGAUGAAAUCUUCAGUCUCCAUCUUCGUCGGUGGUCUGAGAUAGCCUUAAACCAUAAAUUUAAUUUCGGUGGCUGAAACGUAGGUGAAACCCAAACCAUCUUCGUCGCUUGGUUCUUCGUAGCUGAAAGAUACAAUGAAUCCUCAAAUACUUCCAGAGCUCUUUUCCAUUUAGUGAGAGUGGCAAGAGAGCAAAGCUCAAGAAAUAACCAAGAGAGGUUUUGGUUUCUAAAUUUGCAAGUUUUGGUUGUCUAAGUCACAAGUUUUGGGUUUCUCUGUGAAGGGACAAAAGGUUAAUACUAGUCCUAGCUAGUAAUUGUACUCUCAUGUGCUUGGAUUCAUUGAGAAAGCAGGAGAUAAAGAAAGGCUUUUGAAGUGGAGUUUGAGUGAUACCUGGAAUGGCAAUCACAAAUGUGGUAACAAUCUCUACGAUCCUGAAGCACAAUGGACUAGCAACAUAGAAGAAGGUGUUAACGUUGUUGACUGUGGGAAUGAAAGACAAGAACAAAGGAAGCAUGGUCCAGAAGCCUAAGGCAAGUUUCUUUUAAUAUUUUUUUUAAGGCUGGUGAAUAAGCUACAACAGAAGCUGUUUAGGUCAUUGGAUUGUCUUUGAAGUCUGAUGCUAAAAAGACCAUCAUGAAUCUCAGGUUCCCUCUUUUUCUCACGGUUUUCUAGCCAUUAUCUUGUAGAAGUAAUUGAGAAAGUCACUUGCUUUUACUCAUACAAAGACAUCCAACUUCAAAAAGAGAACUGAACUGCAGAAAAUAUAGAGAAGGCAGUGAAAUGAGAAUUGCUUGGAAUGAGACAUCAUCCUAAGUCCUUGGAGGGAGGGAAAGAGCAAACCAAUGGAGUUCUUUGUUUAGUCCAUCUGAAUUGCAGUACUUAUGACGUUGUUUAUGACCUUUGUUUUUAUAACAAAUGGUGUUAAAUGCUGAACUAUUUUGUAAAAUUACAAUUAUGUAUUUUUUGAUGAUCUAUGAAAAGAAACGUGCUUUCAACAAA